rnacentral:rRNA from 1 species
UGAGUAACCUGCCCUUCACUCUGGGAUAACUCCGGGAAACCGGGGCUAAUACUGGAUAUGACUCGAACAGGCAUCUGUUUCGGGUGGAAAGAUUUAUUGGUGGAGGAUGGACUCGCGGCCUAUCAGCUUGUUGGUGAGGUAAUGGCUCACCAAGGCGACGACGGGUAGCCGGCCUGAGAGGGCGAUCGGCCACACUGGACUGAGACACGGCCCAGACCUCCGUACGGGAGNA